AUAGUAACAAUGUUUCUUUAUAUAUUUUCAUUUUGUAGUUGUGACGAACCAGAAAUAAAAGCAAAUUUGAAUGACGACACAUUCCCAAGUUCCGACCAAAUUUGGGGUAUGAUAGGAACUAUAUUGGCGACUGUUGCAUGCUGGUUUGUGUAUACAAAGAUAAGACUUGGAAGAAAAAGGUCUCAAGACCAUCACAUCCCGCAUAGUAAACCAAGAGUAACAACCAAUGCACGUAGAGGACACAUGUGAAAAUAGAUUAGAAAUAAUAGAAAAUAUUAUAGAAAUAUAUUUUUAUUCUUAAAAUA